rnacentral:rRNA from 1 species
UACGUAGAGGGCGAGCGUUGUCCGGAUUUACUGGGCGUAAAGAGCGCGUAGGCGGAAAUUUAAGCGUGGCCUGAAAGCCCCCGGCUCAACCGGGGAGUGCGGCUGCGAACUGGGUUUCUUGAGGACGAUAGAGGAGAGUGGAAUUCCUGGUGUAGCGGUGAAAUGCGUAGGUAUCAGGAGGAACACCCGAGGCGAAGGCGGCUCUCUGGGUCGUACCUGACGCUGAGGCGCGAAAGCCAGGGGAGCGAACGGG